UACGUAGGGUGCGAGCGUUAAUCGGAAUUACUGGGCGUAAAGCGUGCGCAGGCGGUUUUGUAAGCCAGAUGUGAAAUCCCCAGGCUUAACUUGGGAACUGCGUCCGAUACUGGAUGGCUUGAAUCCGGGAGAGGGAUGCGGAAUUCCAGGUGUAGCGGUGAAAUGCGUAGAUAUCUGGAGGAACACCGGUGGCGAAGGCGGUUCUCUGGGCCUUACCUGACGCUGAGGAGCGAAAGCGUGGGGAGCGAACAGG
rnacentral:rRNA from 1 species